UGCGGGUCCUUUCCUCCUUCUCAGACACAGAUGCGCAGAACGGUGGUCGGACAGGGCGGGAAGCCUCUCAUGCUGGCCUUGAGGACAUCACUGAGGCAGGAGAAAGCGAGGGAGGUGUGAUGGAGAAAGCAAAGUCUUCAGGGAGAGCCUCCCUCAGUCCUGACCAUACUUCUCUCAUCAUGUGACCCUGUGCCUUCUCUCUGAAUGUCUGGUCCUUCACACACAGAAUCCAGGAUCACCUACCAGGAGUGGUACUGUUCCGAGUGGGCUGGGUCCUUCCUACAUCAGUCAAUGAAGAAAAUGUCCCUACGGACUCGCCUACAGGCCAAUACGAUGGAAACAUUUUCUCUGCUGGGGUCCCCUCUUCCCAGAUGGCCCAUCUUGGUUGAAGGUGACAAAAAACUAGCCAACACAAACCCUUAUGUUUUUAUCAGAGUAUUUUACCACAGUAACAGGAAAACAAACUAAGGCAUGGUUGUGCCAUUAAUUUACAACAGAGCUCGACUCACCUAUGAGUCUGCAUCCUACUUUGGGCUCUCCUGACAGGCUAGUUUGCAUGUGACAUUUCCAUACUGUGAAACUAUUUAUUGUACUAAUCCUACAGCUCUUGUAUGACAUGUCCACUAUCACAGCACCACACAGAACAGUCCUUGGAGUCCCUUCUCUCACUCACAACAAUAAAUAAACCCCUUCUCCCCAGUCUCAGGCAGCCACUGACCUGCUUUCUGCUCCUUUGGCUUUGUCCUUCCAAGAAUGUCACACAAAUGGGAUCAUUCAAUACAAAUAGUCUUUGGGAUCUAUA